rnacentral:rRNA from 1 species
UACGUAGGGUGCAAGCGUUGUCCGGAAUUAUUGGGCGUAAAGAGCUCGUAGGCGGUUCGUCACGUCGGCUGUGAAAUCCCGAGGCUCAACCUCGGGUCUGCAGUCGAUACGGGCGGACUUGAGUACUGCAGGGGAGACUGGAAUUCCUGGUGUAGCGGUGAAAUGCGCAGAUAUCAGGAGGAACACCGGUGGCGAAGGCGGGUCUCUGGGCCGAUACUGACGCUGAGGAGCGAAAGCGUGGGGAGCGAACAGG